UUGUACUACAGUGCUUGAUUGACCUUUUCUGCUUUCAAACUUGCUAGCCAUAGAGCCUUCCAAUAGCUAAUCUCUUAGCCUUGAGCUUGCUUAUAUUACAUACAUUAAAGGGUGAGUUUGUAGGAUAUGAUAUAGUUUUCUUCUUACCUAAGCAUAUACAGAAAGUUAGCCUUAUACAAUUAGAUAGCUGUACCUAUUAGCAUAUUUUCUCUUCCCUUUGCUGGGGUUGCUUAACUUAAUAAGGCUACUCUGUCUAUCCUGAGUUUCCCGUUCAUAAUCUUUCCCAAGCUAGGGUACUGUGUAAGGUCGGGUAGUUAAUUACUCAGGACCCUCCAUUGAUAAUGCCUUCCAUUUUUAUAGUUCCAUUGGCAGUGAAGAGGGAUCUAGUUUUUGACAUCUAUUUCAAUUUCUUCUGCCAGCUAUGCUAUUCCUGAGCCAGUUGCAGUGACUUUUACAGUGGGUUUCCUCGCAGCCAUUGACACUUCUUCGUCUUUCCUUAAUCGAGAGAGAGUUGCCUUUGCUUCGACCUGGAAGCCUGUCUCAGUAAUUGGUAACACCUUAUCAUAUUUCCAAUUUCCUUGGAUGCAGUU
rnacentral:lncRNA from 1 species